GAUGCACAUCUUCUUGCCUUUUUUUUUAAAUAAAAGAUUAAUUAAUUAGGCUGCACCAGGUCUUAUCUGUGCUAUGUGGGAUCUCUUAUUUGCAGCAUGUGAAUCUUUUAGUUGUGGCAUGCGAACUCUUAGAGGUGACAUGUGGAAUCUAGUUCCCUGAAAAGGGACCAAACUUGGGCCCCCUUGCGCUGGGAGCAGGGAGUCUUAGCCCCUGGCCCACCAGGGAAGUCCCUUCCUUGCUUCCUGAAAGCUGGGCCUGGGUCCGAUCCCUCUCUGCUUCCCUCAUCACAUUUAAUGCACAGCCCCUUACCCACGGCGGGCGAGGGGCCCGAGGCUACGGUGCUGACUGCACAUGGGGAAAGGGACCGGGUGCCCCAGCCUCUCUUUUCUUUGUCCUCUGUGUAUCUUCCCUCUUUGAACCUUAGCGGCUGCAAGGCUGCUGCGCCACCUGGCCCCAUAAAGCCCUCGCACCUGAUGAAGGUAAGGCGACAGAGUGGACUCAUGGCCGCGGAGGGCGUGGGGCGGGGGUGCGGAAUGAGACCUCCUCUGUCCUGAUCUGUGUCUCGGGCAGAGACGUGAGCUGCAGCUGUCCCCCCCAGAAUAUCUGCCUCCUCCCUAGAGAGCCAAGCGGAUGCCCCGCCUCUGAGGGUGAGAAAGAACCUAUUGUCUGCCCUGCACGCGAGGAAGGCCUUUUAUUGUCUGCUUGUUUGGCUAAGAUGCUCUGCCUCAUUGUGGGCCAUUAAUAAAUGCAUCUGUUUCAAUUGCACUGGCAUAUUUGAACCCCCAAGUCUUCCUCAGCAUACCAGAAGCAAACGUAACCACCCUUUUCAGACCCACACCCCAGCAGGAUGUAUGCGACAUUACACUGGAAACUACUGUUGGUAUGCAGAGCAGACACCUAGCAUGGAGUGAGGAUUUACUGUGUGUUAGGAAAGGCGGGAGGAGUCCUGCUAUGGAGUCAGGCAGACUGGGGGCCAAACCUCUACCAGCGGCUGACCUGCUGGGGGAUUUGGGGCAAGGGACUCGCCUUUCUGAGCCUGGGUUUCUUCAAGUGCACUGAGAAGGUGAACCUUUACUUGCUUGGAUCGUGUGGUGUGAUGUGUGUAGAGCAGAUGCAUUAAUGCCACAUUUAUUUCCGCUGUAAGGUAGGUAUUCCUGGAGAAGGAAAUGGCAACCCACUCCAGCACUCUUGCCUGGAAAAUNNNNNGGAUGGAGGAGCCUGGUAGGCUACAGUCCACGGGGUUGCAAAGAGUUGGGCACAAACGAGUGACUUCACUUUCUUUCCUUCAAGGUAGGUAUUAGCCAUACCCACUUUGCAGAUGAGAACACUGAGGCUGAAAAUAAAGUAAACUGACCACAGUCACAUAGCUGGGAAGUUAGCUCUGGGGGCUUCAAAGGUCAUUAUUCACUGCUAACCGCUGCCUCAGACACAAGCAGGCUGGCUCUUUGGCCUUCAUAAACCUGGCCAAGGAUUGGAGUCAGGGAAUGAUGUGACCUCGCCUGGCCUUCUUGUUGGCCUAGCUAGGGGCUGCUGGUGAGCUGGGUAGGCGGUUUGGGCCUUUCUGUGGAUCCCGGGCCUCUUCCAAGUGCAGGUUUCGGCCUGGUGGCCGCUCUACCAACCUUUCCCCCGCGCCUGGCUGCUCUCAGCCUCGGGUCAUGGUUUGGAUCACUUGGUUCCUCCUGACACUCGCGGGCUCCUCGCCUGCCUCCCAUCCUGGUAGAUGUGGAUUUCCUUGUAUGGACUUGACAUGGCUCAUCCCAGACCCCGGGGCUGACUUUGUACCUGGAUUUUUUUUCCCCCGUGUCUCCUCUAGCUUCCUGGAAGGCGGCCCAUUUGAUUUUUAUAGGCACUGUCAUUAUAAUUAACCUUCAUUGAAUUCUGUCCGGGGCUGACUCAGGCUUCACUGAGGGGAGGGGUAGUCAAGAAAUUUCUCAUUUCUGCCACUUGCUGAGUGACCAACAUCCCUGAUGAGAUUUCACUCUCCUGAGUCUCAGUUUCCCUAUCUGUGAAAUGGGCAUGUGAUGUUUGACCGUGUUGAUGAGGUGAUUCUUUAACUCCAUCCUGGGAAAGAUUUAAAGAGAUAACCACACAUUGGCCUAGCUCAGUGUAGAGCAUGCCUGGGAGUGAGCGUCACCCCCUACGAGGGCAGGGCCUGGGUCUGCCUUCUCUGCUGUGUCCCAUGCUGCAUAGAUCAUGCCCUAACUGGGCUCGGUGAGCCUAUGUUGAAUGAAUCUUUACACCUAUCGCCUAUCUCUGGGAAGUUCNNNNNNNNNNNNNNNNNNNNNNNNNNNNNNNNNNNNNNNNNNNNNNNNNNNNNNNNNNNNNNNNNNNNNNNNNNNNNNNNNNNNNNNNNNNNNNNNNNNUAUCGCCUAUCUCUGGGAAGUUCCACUUGGAGCUUCAUAUGCCCUGGAGAGAUUCGUAAAAGAAAAUAGGGAUGGAACAGUUCACACUCACAGAGAUGCCUGCAAGGAGAAAAGCAUUUAAUUAAAUCAAUAGCCCAGUGUUUAAGAAGCACCAUUGUUCCAAACUCGGGCGUUCCUGUCUGGGUGUAGGGUGUCCAGAGCAGGGAAGGGGUGGCAGAAACUUGAUGCCUAGGUGUGCUGGGCACAGUGGCAGAUCUUUUGUGUACUGUAACUUAUUGAAUUCUCUCACACAUUUUUCAGAGUUAGGGUAUCAUCUCCAUUUUCCAAAUGAGGAAACAGAGAACCAGGAGGGGACGUGACUUGUCAAAGGUCACACGGUAAAGAUGAGGGUGAGCCGGGAAGCUGGGUAAAGGCCCUGGGGGGAUGCCCUUCUGCUUCUGCUCACCCAGCCUCUGUUCCCCUCGUCUGGCAACAGGGCCUUCAUCUUCCUUUGGGAAAAUAACCUUCUGCUCCUGUGACCCAGGCGUCUCUGCUCAGAGUACCAGCCUCUGGUGACUGGUUCAGGAGUGGGCAAGGCCAGAAGGGGUCAGGGGAAGAUGGGCUUGUCUGCUGGGGCGGUGGAGUUGGCAGGAUGGCACCCAGGAUGCUGGUGGCCAUUUUGCCUCUGUUGGGUGGGCCUCCCGAGAUUGGAGCAAACACAGAGAGCAGAGCCCCAAGCACAGAGAAGUCAGGUCCUGACGGCAUGGUUAAGCCCAUGAGGCUAGCUUUACCCUUGGGCUUUCCAUCUUGGGGCCAAUGCACGUAUACUUUGGCUGAAGUCAGCUUGAGUGGGGUUUCCGUCACUUGCAACCCAAACCAUCCUGGCUCAUGUAUCUAGCGUGGGAGACCAGACACACACUGUGAAAUGACAGGCCCGGAGGAGGGUGUGAUCGGCUUGGCUGAACUGGAGAAAAAGCUUCCUGAAUGAGAGAGGA
rnacentral:lncRNA from 1 species